UUUUGAAACUUGAAAUUUUUGUUUUGAUUUAUGGUCAUUCAGUUUAUUUUUGAAAGAUUUUCAUUCUUUGCUAAGUAACACAAUUUCUUCAAAACUUCAAAAUGAGUGUUUUAAUAAUUUUGGCUAUUUAAUCAUUAAAGUUUUAUGAAAAUAUUUUGUUUUAAUUUAAAUGAAAGUUUUUAAUGUUUAAUUUACUUAACUUGGAAAUUUAUAAAGAGUGUGUCUGUCUUUUUGUAACCACUGUUCUUUUUAUCCAACACAUGUUAAACUUUCAGGCUGGACAACUGUCAAAAUGGAUCACCAUAAUUAUCAGUCAGGUCAAGGUCAAUCAGUGUAGAUAUCCAAUCAUUUCAGGUCAACAUUUUCUUUUAAAGUUUGGUCAUAGGUUAGAGGUUAAAAGUUCAGGUCAACAUUGACAAGAAUAGAAUGGUCAUUACUCCUUUAAAGUGUAGAGGUCUACUAGAUUUAAGAUCAAACUAUUUGUAAGAAUGGUUAUUUGUAAGGUCAAAGAUAUGCAGUGUCAGGUCAAAGUCAAUGUUUACUUCUACAGAAUGAUUAUAUCUGUAAGCAGGAUCACAGAUAUGAUUAAUUGCUUAAAAGCAACAAGCACAUGUAAGAAGCAUAUUCCUGCUAAACAGCUUUAAAUAUAUGUGUACCUAUUUUCACAAAAAUAGCUCCCUUCCCCAAGGGUUGACUGGGGUAUAAAAAUAUGGUCAUCCCUUGGUCUUCUUCUGACUGGCAGUUAAACACUUGCGAAAGAUUAGCCACCGUUAAGUUAAUACAUAGCCACAUCCUGUUAAAAUUUUAAAUUUAAAAGUUGCAUCUAAUACCAGAGUAACUUUUAACCUGAAGUGUGACAGACGAACGAACAGACAAACAAAAGAAAGGAUCGACAAACAGACGACCGGGUAAGACCAGAAAACAUAAUGUCCAUGUAUGGGGCAUAAAAAUCCAGCAUAACAGUGCAACAUUCCAUUUAGCUUUUGAAAUUUUGAUGAAAAAUACAAAAUAUUUCCUUUGACUCAUUUAAAACAUUAAAUUGUCACCACCCUUUAGAAAGAAAAUGAACAUUAAAGUCCCCUACAUAAAUUUCAUAGUUUAAAUAAAGGAAUUUUUUUCAGCAAUUUUCACUUCUGGAUGAAAGGAUAAAAUUACCACUUCUGUUUUAUAAUUCAUUGAGAGCUUUUAUAAAAAGUAACAGAUCAGAAGUCAAACAAAAAAAGAAAAUAUCACUAAUUUCCUUUUAAACAUCCCAAAAAUUUCGCAUUUGUUCAUUUUAACCUUGACCACUCUUUUAAAAUUUAAAAAAAUAUUAAAUAAGGUUUCUGUAUCUUAAUUUGGCAGCUUCUGAUAAAUUAAAGAAUAUAUUUGGUAUACAUCAAUGAGGGGUACUUAACAAACAACAAAAACAAGGCGUCUUUAGGUCAACAUAGUCUUCAACAAAGAUAGGCAUCUAUACAAUAUGUUUAGUGUUUAUAGUUCAAAAUUAGUCAACAAAAUUUACUAAAUAUCUAUAAAGAAAAAAGUCGACAAAAUUUACUAAAUAUCUUUAAAGAAAAAAGUCGACAAAAUUUACUAAAUAUCUAUAAAGAAAAAAGUCGACUACAUUUUACUAAAUAUCUAUAAAGAAAAAAGUCGACAAAAUUUACUAAAUAUCUAUAAAGAAAAAAGUCCACAAAAUUUACUGAAUAUCUUUAAAGAAAAAAGUCCACAAAAUUUACUAAAUAUCUAUAAAGAAAAAGUCCACAAAAUUUACUAAAUAUCUAUAAAGAAAAAAGUCCACAAAAUUUACUAAAUAUCUAUAAAGAAAAAAGUUAACUAAAUUUACUAAAUAUCUAUAUAGAAAAAAGUCCACAAAAUUUACUAAAUAUCUAUAAAGAAAAAAGUCCACAAAAUUUACUAAAUAUCUAUAAAGAAAAUAGUCCACAAAAUUUACAAAAUAUCUAUAAAGAAAAAAGUCGACUAAAUUUUACUAAAUAUUAUAAAGAAAAAAGUCCACAAAAUUUACUAAAUAUCUAUAAAGAAAAAAGUCCACAAAAUUUACUAAAUAUCUAUAAAGAAAAAAGUCCACAAAAUUUACUAAAUAUCUUUAAAGAAAAAAGUCAACUAAAUUUACUAAAUAUCUAUAAAGAAAAAAGUAGACUAAAUUAACUAAAUAUCUAUAAAGAAAAGAGUAGACAAAUUUAACUAAAUAUCUAUAAAAAAUAAUAAUAAAGCAAAAUAAUUAAAAAUUCUUUUUUCUUGCAAUUAAAUGAGUUUAAAAUUUUUAAUUCAGCAAAAGAUUUGGGCUUUCAACAACUUGAUGUGAAUGAUAUUGCAUUAUUAUAGUGUCUGAGUACAACAUUAUUACAUAACUUGCUGGGUUCAACUUUCUUUUUUUACAAAAAUAUAAAGUAUACAAAGUUAACACUGGCAAGUCAAGUAUAACAAUGUAUCUAACACUGCACAAUCUGCAUAAACCUGCAUACCUGCAUAGGAUAAUUAGCAUUGCAUAUAUAAAUUAACAUGUAAAGCUUAUGCUGGCUUGCUGAUGUUUUCUUUCAUUGUUCUAUUUAAUUAACCCCUAGCCCAAUAUAGCAACAUCUAUUUAAAAUUGACCUGGGAUUUGGAUUUUGGGCAGGUAGGGAGGAAUAAGGGAAAUACCUUGGCCUGGGAUUUUAGGGCUUAAAGAAAGGGGAAUGGAAACCCAGGGACUCUGGUGAAGUGGGGAGAUAAAAGGAGAGGGGAAACCCAGGACCUGGUGUAUUUGGGGAGAUAAAAGAGGGAGAAGGUUACAUCCAGGGCCUGGUGAACUGGGGGAGAUAAAAGAGGGAGAAGGGGACAUCCAGGGCCUGGUGAACUGGGGGAGAUAAAAGAGGGAAUGGGGAAAGAGUUGCUGUCUAUUGAAUGAAGUAAGUUAUGUGUUAAUGUUGUAUUCACAUUGUUGUGAUGAUUUUAUUGUUGCUUUUAAGUUUGUGGAGCACAAAUACCCCAGUACUUUUGGAUAAAAAUGAUAAUGAAAAAAUAUUCCCGUUUAAACUUUCAGUUUUUAAUAAAGAUAUUCCAGUGUUCAAAUUAACCAUUAAAGUGGUCUUUCUUAAAGUUGUCAAACAAGAACCAAAGUGUACCUUUUAAACUUUAAAAUAUCAAUUGAACAUUUAAUUAGAAACCUUUGGUUUAAACAUUUAUGCGUGUUUCUGAAUUCUUUUCAUUAAAAUUGAGUAAAUAAAAUCUCACUCUAUUUAAACAAUUUUGUGUUGUAAAAAAAACACAAAAACAUACAAUUAAGUACUUGACCUAUAGUAUAGAAACUUGUUUUUGUUGGAGACUAUAUUGACCUCUGGGGACCAGUUUUUUUGUGUUGUUUAGUUGCUGUCUCAAUAACAUAAUCCCUAAAGUCAUUUUCAAUUAAUAAUAAAGGACAAAUUAUAAAAAACCCAGAAUAAACAAAUCCUUCAUAUUAACUUUUAAUAACUGUUAAAUUUUCCUUCAAAUCAAAUAUAUGUUUCAUACAUCUCCUUCGUUUAGAUAAAUUUUAAAGUGAAACAGAGAAUGGAAGCCAAAUAUUUAAAAUUUAGAUUAAUUGAAAUAGCCUCCCCUCUUAAAAAAAAAUAAAGAACAAAUUUUAACAGAAAAAAGGGGGAAGGAAACCUAAAGAUACAGAAUUUAAAUAAGUGAUAAAAAGAUCCUCCGUCCUUUUCUAAACUUCUUUUUAAAGUUUUAAAUUUGGUAAAUUAGAUGUUCCCUGAAUUUAGAGUAUCCAUGGGAACAUGUCCCAUUUUUACCAGAAAUUAAUAUACCCAUAGGAACAUUACGGUACAUGUUCCGCUCCAAAGUAAAAAAGGUAUCCAUAGGAACAUCACAUGUUUCUCUCCAAAGUAAUGAAGGUAUCCAUAGGAACAUCACAUGUUUCUCUCCAAAGUAAUGAAGGUAUCCAUAGGAACAUCACAUGUUCCUCUCCAAAGUAAUAAAGGUAUCCAUAGGAACAUCACAUGUUCCUCUCCAAAGUAAUAAAGGUAUCCAUAGGAACAUCACAUGUUCCUCUCCAAAGUAAUGAAGGUAUCCAUAGGAACAUCACAUGUUCCUCUCCAAAGUAAUAAAGGCAUCCAUAGGAACAUCACAUGUGUCUUACCAAUGUAAAUAAGGUAUCCAUAGGAACAUGGGAGCCUCGGUGGCCAAGUGGUCUAAGUAGUUACUACUGUAAACACUAGCCAGUCAACACUGAGGUUGUGAGUUCGAACCCCGCUCGUGCGGGUGCACAUGACUCCAAUCUUAAUUGACUUAGGGUUGUCAGUUUUCCUAUUGAAGGUCAGUGGUUUUCUCCAGGCACUCUGGCUUCCUCCACCAAUACAAACUGGCCGCCAUGAAAUAGCCAAAGUAGUGCUUAAAAGUGGCGUUAAAACACCAAAAAAUCAAAUUCGAAUCCAUAGGUGCACUGCAUGCUCCAAAUUUACUGGUAUCUGAUAUCCAUUGGAAUCCAAAUUUAGUUGUUCAGUUUGUAUUGAUGACAGACUUGGCUUUACAAUGAACUUUGAACUCAAAGAAAUGGAUACACAUGUUUCAGAAAAGUAAGUUUGGUACCUAUAUCUCUUUUCACACUUUUGUUGUUUUUAAAUAAUUUGUAAAUUUUAUUGUAAAUGUAACAUAUUUAAGUUGUCAAAUUUUUGUGUAAAAAGGGGAAUGACCAUUUCAAAACUGUUUUUCAAUAUUUUUGUUAAAGAUUUUCAGAAGGAAGCAGAAAAAUUAUUUAUGAAAAUGUGGAUAGUGUCAAAUGUGUAUAUAGUUUUAAGAAAAAUAGAAAAAAAACAAAAAAAUGCAUGGGUGAUGGUUUUUAAUGAUUUUAAGAAAAAUAGAAAAAAAACAAAAAUAUGCAUGGGUGAUGGUUUUUAAUGAUUUUAAGAAAAAUAGUAAAAAAAAAAAGAAAAAAAAAUAUGCAUGGGUGAUGGUUUUUAAUGAUUUUAAGAAAAAUAGAAAAAAAACAAAAAAAUGCAUGGGUGAUGGUUUUUAAUGAUUUUAAGAAAAAUAGAAAAAAAACAAAAAAAUGCAUGGGUGAUGGUUUUUAAUGAUUUUAAGAAAAAUAGAAAAAAAAAAAAAUAUGCAUGGGUGAUGGUUUUUAAUGAUUUUAAGAAAAAUAGUAAAAAAAAAAAUAAAAAAAAA